rnacentral:rRNA from 1 species
CGUAACACGUGAGCAACCUACCGAGAUAUGGGGGAUAGCCGGCCUAACGGCCGAGUAAUACCGCAUACGCUCUCGAUGAGGCAUUUCAUUGGGAGGAAACCUACGGGGUAUUUCGAGGGGCUCGCGGCCUAUCAGCUAGUUGGCGAGGUAACGGCUCACCAAGGCAACGACGGGUAGCUGGUCUGAGAGGAUGGCCAGCCACAUUGGGACUGAGAUACGGCCCAG